rnacentral:rRNA from 1 species
GAUCAUGGCUCAGGAUGAACGCUGGCGGCGUGCCUAACACAUGCAAGUCGAACGAGCGAGAGAUGAAACCUAGUGAUUCUCGAGCGAGUGGCGGACGGGUGAGUAACGCGUGGGUAACCUGCCUUACAGAGGGGGAUAACAGUUUGAAAAGACUGCUAAUACCGCAUAAGCACACAGUACCGCAUGGUACAGGGUGAAAAGAUUUAUCACUGUAAGAUGGACCCGCGUCUGAUUAGCCAGUUGGCAGGGUAACGGCCUACCAAAGCGACGAUCAGUAGCCGACCUGAGAGGGUGAUCGGCCACAUUGGGACUGAGACACGGCCCAAACUCCUACGGGAGGCAGCAGUGGGGGAUAUUGCACAAUGGAGGAAACUCUGAUGCAGCCGACGCCGCGUGAGUGAAGAAGUAUUUCGGUAUGUAAAGCUCUAUCAGCAGGGAAGAUAAUGACAGUACCUGACCAAGAAGCCCCGGCUAACUACGUGCCAGCCGCCGC